GAUGAACGCUGGCGGCGUGCCUAAUACAUGCAAGUCGAGCGAAGCGGGGACGGGUGAGUAACACGUGGAUAACCUCCUAUAAGACUGGGAUAACUUCGUGAAACCGGUGCUAAACCGGAUACUUAUACCUGGAUCCGCUCUGCAUUAGCUAGUUGGUAAGGUAACGGCUUACCAAGGCAACGAUGCAUAUCCGACCUGAGAGGAUGAUCGGCCACACUGGAACUGAGACACGGUCCAGACUCCUACGGGAGGCAGCAGUAGGGAAUCUUCCGCAAUGGGCGAAAGCCUGACGGAGCAACGCCGCGUGAGUGAUGAAGGUCUUCGGAUCGUAAAACUCUGUUAUUAGGGAGGCGGUACCUAAUCAGAAAGCCACGGCUAACUACGUGCCAGCAGCCGCGGUAAUUC
rnacentral:rRNA from 1 species